GAUGAACGCUAGCGGCAGGCUUAACACAUGCAAGUCGAGGGGCAGCACGGGUAGCAAUACCUGGUGGCGACCGGCGGAAGGGUGCGUAACGCGUGAGCAACAUACCCUAUACAGGGGAAUAAGCCAGGGAAACUUGGUCUAAUGCCCCAUAGCAAUAGAAUAAGGCAUCUUAUUUUAUUUAAAGCUUCGGUGGUAUAGGAUUGGCUCGCGUGACAUUAGCUGGAUGGUGAGGUAACGGCUCACCAUGGCGAUGAUGUCUAGGGGUUCUGAGAGGAAGGCCCCCCACACUGGGACUGAGACACGGCCCAGACUCCUACGGGAGGCAGCAGUGAGGAAUAUUGGACAAUGGAUGGAAAUCUGAUCCAGCCAUGCCGCGUGCAGGAAGACGGCCCUAUGGGUUGUAAACUGCUUUUCUACGUGAGCAAUAAGGUCUACGAGUAGACUGAUGAGAGUAGCGUAGGAAUAAGCAUCGGCUAACUCCGUGCCAGCAGCCGCGGUAAUACGGAGGAUGCGAGCGUUAUCCGGAUUUAUUGGGUUUAAAGGGUGCGUAGGCGGCUUUUUAAGUCAGCGGUGAAAUUUUGCAGCUUAACUGUAACAGUGCCGUUGAUACUGAGGAGCUAGGAUUUGGUUGCUGUGGGUGGAAUGUGUGGUGUAGCGGUGAAAUGCUUAGAGAUCACACAGAAUAUCGAUUGCGAAGGCAGCUCACAAAGCCAAGAUUGACGCUGAGGCACGAAAGUGUGGGGAUCAAACAGGAUUAGAUACCCUGGUAGUCCACACUGUAAACGAUGAUAACUCGCUGUCGGCGAUACACAGUCGGUGGCCAAGCGAAAGCGAUAAGUUAUCCACCUGGGGAGUACGACCGCAAGGUUGAAACUCAAAGGAAUUGACGGGGGCCCGCACAAGCGGAGGAACAUGUGGUUUAAUUCGAUGAUACGCGAGGAACCUUACCC
rnacentral:rRNA from 1 species